rnacentral:rRNA from 1 species
GUGACGUGGCGCUGCUUUAACAUGCAGUCGAACGGCAGCGGGGGCUUCGGCCUGCCGGCGAGUGGCGAACGGGUGAGUAAUGCAUCGGAACGUGCCCAUGUCGUGGGGGAUAACGUAUCGAAAGGUACGCUAAUACCGCAUACGUCCUGAGGGAGAAAGCGGGGGAUCUUCGGACCUCGCGCGAUUGGAGCGGCCGAUGUCGGAUUAGCUAGUAGGUGAGGUAAAGGCUCACCUAGGCGACGAUCCGUAGCGGGUCUGAGAGGAUGAUCCGCCACACUGGGACUGAGACACGGCCCAGAUUCCUACGGGAGGCAGCAGUGGGGAAUUUUGGACAAUGGGCGCAAGCCUGAUCCAGCCAUGCCGCGUGAGUGAAGAAGGCCUUCGGGUUGUAAAGCUCUUUCGGCCGGGAAGAAAUCGGCGACUCUAACAUAGUCGCUGGAUGACGGUACCGGACUAAGAAGCACCGGCUAACUACGUGCCAGCAGCCGCGGUAAUACGUAGGGUGCGAGCGUUAAUCGGAAUUACUGGGCGUAAAGCGUGCGCAGGCGGUUUUGUAAGACAGAUGUGAAAUCCCCGGGCUUAACCUGGGAACUGCGUUUGUGACUGCAAGGCUAGAGUACGGCAGAGGGGGGUGGAAUUCCUGGUGUAGCAGUGAAAUGCGUAGAGAUCAGGAGGAACACCGAUGGCGAAGGCAGCCCCCUGGGCCUGUACUGACGCUCAUGCACGAAAGCGUGGGGAGCAAACAGGAUUAGAUACCCUGGUAGUCCACGCCCUAAACGAUGUCGACUAGUCGUUCGGAGCAGCAAUGCACUGAGUGACGCAGCUAACGCGUGAAGUCGACCGCCUGGGGAGUACGGCCGCAAGGUUAAAACUCAAAGGAAUUGACGGGGACCCGCACAAGCGGUGGAUGAUGUGGAUUAUUUCGAUGCAACGCGAAAACCUCACCUACCCUUGACAUGUCUGGAACCUUGCUGAGAG